rnacentral:rRNA from 1 species
UGCGUAGAGAUGUGGAGGAACACCGAUGGCGAAGGCAGCCCCCUGGGCCAACACUGACGCUCAUGCACGAAAGCGUGGGGAGCAAACAGGAUUAGAUACCCUGGUAGUCCACGCCCUAAACGAUGUCAACUGGUUGUUGGGUCUUCAUUGACUUGGUAACGNAGCUAACGCGUGAAGUUGACCGCCUGGGGAGUACGGUCGCAAGAUUAAAACUCAAAGGAAUUGACGGGGACCCGCACAAGCGGUGGAUGAUGUGGAUUAAUUCGAUGCAACGCGAAAAACCUUACCUACCCUUGACAUGUCCGGAAUCCUGCAGAGAGGUGGGGGUGCCCGAAA